rnacentral:rRNA from 1 species
UUCGAACGCUGGCGGCGUGCUUAACACAUGCAAGUCGAACGGAAAGGCCCUGCUUUUGUGGGGUGCUCGAGUGGCGAACGGGUGAGUAACACGUGAGUAACCUGCCCUUGACUUUGGGAUAACUUCAGGAAACUGGGGCUAAUACCGGAUAGGAGCUCCUGCUGCAUGGUGGGGGUUGGAAAGUUUCGGCGGUUGGGGAUGGACUCGCGGCUUAUCAGCUUGUUGGUGGGGUAGUGGCUUACCAAGGCUUUGACGGGUAGCCGGCCUGAGAGGGUGACCGGCCACGUUGGGACUGAGAUACGGCCCAGACUCCUACGGGAGGCAGCAGUGGGGAAUAUUGCACAAUGGGCGGAAGCCUGAUGCAGCAACGCCGCGUGCGGGAUGACGGCCUUCGGGUUGUAAACCGCUUUCGCCUGUGACGAAGCGUGAGUGACGGUAAUGGGUAAAGAAGCACCGGCUAACUACGUGCCAGCAGCCGCGGUGAUACGUAGGGUGCGAGCGUUGUCCGGAUUUAUUGGGCGUAAAGGGCUCGUAGGUGGUUGAUCGCGUCGGAAGUGUAAUCUUGGGGCUUAACCCUGAGCGUGCUUUCGAUACGGGUUGACUUGAGGAAGGUAGGGGAGAAUGGAAUUCCUGGUGGAGCGGUGGAAUGCGCAGAUAUCAGGAGGAACACCAGUGGCGAAGGCGGUUCUCUGGGCCUUUCCUGACGCUGAGGAGCGAAAGCGUGGGGAGCGAACAGGCUUAGAUACCCUGGUAGUCCACGCUGUAAACGGUGGGUACUAGGUGUGGGGUCCAUUCCACGGGUUCCGUGCCGUAGCUAACGCUUUAAGUACCCCGCCUGGGGAGUACGGCCGCAAGGCUAAAACUCAAAGGAAUUGACGGGGCCCCGCACAAGCGGCGGAGCAUGCGGAUUAAUUCGAUGCAACGCGUAGAACCUUACCUGGGUUUGACAUGGAUCGGGAGUGCUCAGAGAUGGGUGUGCCUCUUUUGGGGUCGGUUCACAGGUGGUGCAUGGCUGUCGUCAGCUCGUGUCGUGAGAUGUUGGGUUAAGUCCCGCAACGAGCGCAACCCUUGUUCACUGUUGCCAGCACGUUAUGGUGGGGACUCAGUGGAGACCGCCGGGGUCAACUCGGAGGAAGGUGGGGAUGACGUCAAGUCAUCAUGCCCCUUAUGUCCAGGGCUUCACGCAUGCUACAAUGGCUGGUACAGAGAGUGGCGAGCCUGUGAGGGUGAGCGAAUCUCGGAAAGCCGGUCUCAGUUCGGAUUGGGGUCUGCAACUCGACCUCAUGAAGUCGGAGUCGCUAGUAAUCGCAGAUCAGCAACGCUGCGGUGAAUACGUUCCCGGGGCUUGUACACACCGCCCGUCAAGUCAUGAAAGUUGGUAACACCCGAAGCCGGUGGCCUAACCGUUGUGGGGGAGCCGUCGAAGGUGGGACUGGU